UGAAUUGAAUUCUUGCAAAAUUAUGCAACUUUUGGCAUGAUUCUAUUUCUUCCAAAAUGAAAUUUUUUAAGUUGGAAGAGUUGAUCCUAGUAAUUAUAUAGAAUUAAGCAAAUAACACUCUUUAGGUUUCCAAAUACACACUUUAUAAUCUACAUGCAAGAGAAAGAGAAUGAGUGGAUCCACAACAAGAUAGGUGUAGCAGCAAUGAAAUCUAUUGGAUAAUGGAACAAUCUAUAAUCAGAGCUUGGAGUUCCACUUUGGAGGCAUGAAAAUUCAAGUAACUGAAGUGGUGGUGGGUAUAUGGG
rnacentral:misc_RNA from 1 species